rnacentral:SRP_RNA from 1 species
UGCGCCGUCACCACCACUCCUUCAGGGGCUGAAGGCAGCAGGCGG